rnacentral:rRNA from 1 species
CCUACGGGUGGCAGCAGUGAGGAAUAUUGGGCAAUGGAGGAAACUCUGACCCAGCAAAGCCGCGUGAAGGAAGAAGGCCCUAGGGUUGUAAACUUAUGUUGUUAAGGAAGAAAAGAGUGACGGUACUUUACAAGAAAGUCUCGGCUAACUAUGUGCCAGCAGCCGCUGUAAGACAUCGGGGGCAAGCGUUGUUCGGAAUUACUGGGCGUAAAGGGAGCGUAGGCGGGAGAUUAAGUUAAGAGUGAAAGCCGUGGGCUCAACCCAAGAAAUGCCUUGAAUACUGGUUUUCUAGAGUGUGGGGGAGGUAAGUGGAAUGCGUGGUGUAGCGGUGGAAUGCGUAGAUAUUAGGAGGAACAUCAGAGGCGAAGGCGGCUUACUGGACCAUAACUGACGCUGAGGCUCGAAAGCGUGGGGAGCAAACAGGAUUAGAUACCCCAGUAGUC